ensembl:lncRNA
GGUGUAGUAGACCUUACAGUGAAAUGCUGAAUACAACAGGUGUAGGUAGACCUUACAGUGAAAUGCUGAAUACAACAGGUGUAGUAGACCUUACAGUGAAAUGCUGAAUACAACAGGUGUAGUAGACCUUACGGUGAAAUGCUGAAUACAACAGGUGUAGUAGACCUCACUGUGAAAUGCUGAAUACAACAGGUGUAGUAGACCUUACAGUGAAAUGCUGAAUACAACAGGUGUAGUAGACCUGACAGUGAAAUGCUGACUACAACAGGUGUAGUAGACCUUACAGUGAAAUGCUGAAUACAACAGGUGUAGUAGACCUGACAGUGAAAUGCUGACUACAACAGGUGUAGUAGACCUUACAGUGAAAUGCUGAAUACAACAGGUGAAGUAGACCUUACAGUGAAAUGCUGAAUACAACAGGUGUAGUAGACCUUACAGUGAAAUGCUGACUACAACAGGUGUAGUAGACUUGAAUACAACAGGUGUAGUAGACCUUAGUGAAAUGCUGAAUACAACAGGUGUAGGUAGACCUUACAGUGAAAUGCUGAAUACAACAGGUGUAGUAGACCUGAAUACAACAGGUGUAGUAGACCUUAGUGAAAUGCUGAAUACAACAGGUGUAGGUAGA